rnacentral:rRNA from 1 species
ACACAUGCAGUCGAGCGGCAGCGCGGGGGAAGCUUGCUCUCCCCGCCGGCGAGCGGCGGACGGGUGAGUAAUGUCUGGGAAACUGCCUGAUGGAGGGGGAUAACUACUGGAAACGGUAGCUAAUACCGCAUAACGUCGCAAGACCAAAGAGGGGGACCUUCGGGCCUCUUGCCAUCGGAUGUGCCCAGAUGGGAUUAGCUAGUAGGUGAGGUAAAGGCUCACCUAGGCGACGAUCCCUAGCUGGUCUGAGAGGAUGACCAGCCACACUGGAACUGAGACACGGUCCAGACUCCUACGGGAGGCAGCAGUGGGGAAUAUUGCACAAUGGGCGCAAGCCUGAUGCAGCCAUGCCGCGUGUUGUGAAGAAGGCCUUCGGGUUGUAAAGCACUUUCAGCGGGGAGGAAGGGAGCAGGCUUAAUACGUCUGUUCAUUGACGUUACCCGCAGAAGAAGCACCGGCUAACUCCGUGCCAGCAGCCGCGGUAAUACGGAGGGUGCAAGCGUUAAUCGGAAUGACUGGGCGUAAAGCGCACGCAGGCGGUCUGUUAAGUUGGAUGUGAAAUCCCCGGGCUUAACCUGGGAACUGCAUUCAAAACUGACAGGCUAGAGUCUCGUAGAGGGGGGUAGAAUUCCAGGUGUAGCGGUGAAAUGCGUAGAGAUCUGGAGGAAUACCGGUGGCGAAGGCGGCCCCCUGGACGAAGACUGACGCUCAGGUGCGAAAGCGUGGGGAGCAAACAGGAUUAGAUACCCUGGUAGUCCACGCUGUAAACGAUGUCGAUUUGGAGGUUGUGGUCUUGAACCGUGGCUUCCGGAGCUAACGCGUUAAAUCGACCGCCUGGGGAGUACGGCCGCAAGGUUAAAACUCAAAUGAAUUGACGGGGGCCCGCACAAGCGGUGGAGCAUGUGGUUUAAUUCGAUGCAACGCGAAGAACCUUACCUACUCUUGACAUCCAGAGAAGACUGCAGAGAUGCGGUUGUGCCUUCGGGAACUCUGAGACAGGUGCUGCAUGGCUGUCGUCAGCUCGUGUUGUGAAAUGUUGGGUUAAGUCCCGCAACGAGCGCAACCCUUAUCCUUUGUUGCCAGCACUUCGGGGUGGGGAACCUCAAGGGAGACUGCCGGUGAUAAACCGGAGGAAGGUGGGGAUGACGUCAAGUCAUCAUGGCCCUUACGAGUAGGGCUACACACGUGCUACAAUGGCGUAUACAAAGAGAAGCGACCUCGCGAGAGCAAGCGGACCUCAUAAAGUACGUCGUAGUCCGGAUUGGAGUCUGCAACUCGACUCCAUGAAGUCGGAAUCGCUAGUAAUCGUAGAUCAGAAUGCUACGGUGAAUACGUUCCCGGGCCUUGUACACACCGCCCGUCACACCAUGGGAGUGGGUUGCAAAAGAAGUAGGUAGCUUAACCUUCGGGAGGGCGCUACC